AAGUCGUAACAAGGUUUCCGUAGGUGAACCUGCGGAAGGAUCAUUACUGAGACUGGGUGCUUCGGCGCCCGACCUCCAACCCUUUGUCUACCUUACCACUGUUGCCUCGGCGGCCGCGGCUUUAAGUAGUCGCUCCGCCGAUGGCCUACAACCAAAACUCUUGUUUAAACACCGUUUAUCUGAGAAUAAAACAAUAACUUCAAAA
rnacentral:misc_RNA from 1 species